CCAGACUCCUACGGGAGGCAGCAGUGGGGAAUAUUGGGCAAUGGGCGCAAGCCUGACCCAGCAAUGCCGCGUGAAGGAAGAAGGCCCUCGGGUUGUAAACUUCUUUUAUCAGGGACGAAGGAUGUGACGGUACCUGAUGAAUAAGCUCCGGCUAACUACGUGCCAGCAGCCGCGGUAAUACGUAGGGGGCGAGCGUUAUCCGGAUUCACUGGGUGUAAAGGGAGCGUAGACGGCCAAGCAAGCCAGGGGUGAAAGCCCGGGGCCCAACCCCGGGACUGCCCUUGGAGCUGCUUGGCUGGAGUGCGGGAGGGGCAGGCGGAAUUCCUGGUGUAGCGGUGAAAUGCGUAGAUAUCAGGAGGAACACCAGUGGCGAAGGCGGUCUGCUGGACAGCAACUGACGGUGAGGCGCGAAAGCGUGGGGAGCAAACAGGAUUAGAUACCCCAGUA
rnacentral:rRNA from 1 species